UACGGAGGGUGCAAGCGUUAUCCGGAUUCACUGGGUUUAAAGGGUGCGUAGGUGGGCAUGUAAGUCAGUGGUGAAAUCUCCGUGCUUAACAUGGAAACUGCCAUUGAUACUAUGUUUCUUGAAUUUUCCGGAGGUAAGCGGAAUAUGUCAUGUAGCGGUGAAAUGCUUAGAUAUGACAUAGAACACCAAUUGCGAAGGCAGCUUACUACAGGGAUAUUGACACUGAGGCACGAAAGCGUGGGGAUCAAACAGG
rnacentral:rRNA from 1 species